rnacentral:rRNA from 1 species
AUUGAACGCUGGCGGCAGGCCUAACACAUGCAAGUCGAGCGGUAACAGAGAGAAGCUUGCUUCUUUGCUGACGAGCGGCGGACGGGUGAGUAAUACUUGGGAACUUGCCUCUAGGCGGGGGACAACCACUGGAAACGGUGGCUAAUACCGCAUAAUGUCUACGGACCAAAGUGGGGGACCUUCGGGCCUCACACCUAGAGAUGGGCCCAAGUGGGAUUAGCUAGUUGGUGAGGUAAAGGCUCACCAAGGCGACGAUCCCUAGCUGUUCUGAGAGGAUGAUCAGCCACACUGGGACUGAGACACGGCCCAGACUCCUACGGGAGGCAGCAGUGGGGAAUAUUGCACAAUGGGCGCAAGCCUGAUGCAGCCAUGCCGCGUGUGUGAAGAAGGCCUUCGGGUUGUAAAGCACUUUCAGUGGUGAGGAAGGUCAGUAAGUUAAUAGCUUGCUGA